rnacentral:rRNA from 1 species
CCUACGGGUGGCAGCAGUGGGGAAUAUUGCACAAUGGGGGAAACCCUGAUGCAGCGACGCCGCGUGAGUGAUGAAGUAUUUCGGUAUGUAAAGCUCUAUCAGCAGGGAAGAAAAUGACGGUACCUGAUUAAGAAUCCACGGCUAACUACGUGCCAGCAACCGCGGGAAUACGUAGGGGGCAAGCGUUAGCCGGAUUUACUGGGUGUAAAGGGAGCGUAGACGGCAUUACAAGACUGGGGUGAAAGGCCUGGGCUCAACCCCGGGACUGCUUUUGAAACUGUGCAGCUAGAGUGUGGGAGAGGCAAGUGGAAUUCCUAGUGGAGCGGUGAAAUGCGUAGAUAUUAGGAGGAACAUCAGUGGCGAAGGCGGCUUACUGGACGAUAACUGACGUUGAGGCUCGAAAGCGUGGGGAGCAAACAGGAUUAGAUACCCGAGUAGUC